rnacentral:rRNA from 1 species
UACGUAGGGGGCAAGCGUUGUCCGGAUUUAUUGGGCGUAAAGAGCGUGUAGGCGGCUUUACAGGUCCGUUGUGAAAACUCGAGGCUCAACCUCGAGACGCCGAUGGAAACCAUCUAACUAGAGUCCGGAAGAGGAGAGUGGAAUUCCUGGUGUAGCGGUGAAAUGCGCAGAUAUCAGGAAGAACACCCGUGGCUAAGGCGGCUCUCUAGUACGGUACUGACGCUGAGACGCGAAAGCGUGGGGAGCGAACAGG